UACAGAGACUGCAAGCGUUAUUCGGAUUCACUGGGCGUAAAGGGUGCGCAGGCGGUUAUGUGUGUUAGGUGUGAAAGCCCGAGGCUCAACCUCGGAAUUGCGCCUAAAACUACAUGACUAGAGUACCGGAGAGGAUAGCGGAAUUCACGGUGUAGCAGUGAAAUGCGUAGAUAUCGUGAAGAACACCAGCGGCGAAGGCGGCUAUCUGGAAGGUAACUGACGCUCAGGCACGAAAGCGUGGGGAGCAAAAGGGAUUAGAUACCCCUGUAGUCCACGCCCUAAACGGUGCACACUAGGUGUUAGCGGAUUCGACCCCGUUAGCGCCCAAGCUAACGCGUUAAGUGUGCCGCCUGAGGACUACGGCCGCAAGGCUAAA
rnacentral:rRNA from 1 species